rnacentral:rRNA from 1 species
AUACGGAAGGUCCGGGCGUUAUCCGGAUUUAUUGGGUUUAAAGGGAGCGCAGGCGGCACUUCAAGCGUGACGUUAAAUUUCGGGGCUCACCCCCGUUUUGCGUCGCGAACUGUUGUGCUUGAGUAGGCGGCAGGGAGGCGGAAUUCGCGGUGUAGCGGUGAAAUGCUUAGAUAUCGCGAGGAACUCCGAUAGCGCAGGCAGCCUCCCGUUGCUUUACUGACGCUCAUGCUCGAAGGUGCGGGUAUCGAACAGGAUUAGAUACCCUGGUAGUCCGCACUGUAAACGAUGGAUGCCCGCUGUUGGGCCUUUUGGGUUCAGUGGCCAAGAGAAAUCGUUAAGCAUCCCACCUGGGGAGUACGCCGGCAACGGUGAAACUCAAAUGAAUCGACGGGG